GAUGAACGCUAGCGGCAGGCCUAAUACAUGCAAGCUGAACGGUAAAUGUUGUAGCAAUACAAUAUGAGAGUAGCGUAAGGGUGCGUAACACGUAUGCAAUCUACCCGCAACUGGAGGAUAGCUCCCCGAAAGGGGAAUUAAUACUCCAUAAGAUCACGAGAGGGCAUCUGAUUGUGAUUAAACUCCAAGGGGUUGCGGAUGAGCAUGCGUCUGAUUAGUUAGUUGGUGAGGUAACGGCUCACCAAGACGAUGAUCAGGUAGGGGAACUGAGAGGUUGAUCCCCCACACUGGCACUGAGAUACGGGCCAGACUCCUACGGGAGGCAGCAGUAGGGAAUAUUGGUCAAUGGGUGAGAGCCUGAACCAGCCAUGCCGCGUGC
rnacentral:rRNA from 1 species